rnacentral:lncRNA from 1 species
AAAACUUCUUGGAUGUGUUUUCUCCUCGGAGAACAACUUGGCUGAUGCUUUCUCCUGCAGGUCAGAGUGAUUUCCCAGCGAUUUCUUUGGCCGAUACCACCAGAGGACAGGAUUCUUCAUUCUGGCUGCUAAAUGCCUCUGUGCACCACACGUUGCAGUGAGGGAAGAAGGGCGGAGCUUCUCGGAUGAUGAUGGACAUUCCACUGGGCAGGAUGAAGGCAGAGUGUGUGACAUCGACACCACAAGGCUCUGAGGAAGCAUCACUAUAUUGGAUGAUGGUCAAAGCUUUUAUUUGCACUCUGAGAAACGGUUCUGGUACAUCCUGGGCCAGUGUAAACUUCCUCCUCGCCCUUCGCAGCCAGCU